rnacentral:rRNA from 1 species
GACGAACGCUGGCGGCGUGCCUAAUACAUGCAAGUCGAGCGGACUUGACAGAGCUUGCUCUGUUCAAGUUAGCGGCGGACGGGUGAGUAACACGUGGGCAACCUGCCCUGCAGAUUGGGAUAACUCCGGGAAACCGGGGCUAAUACCGAAUAACAUGGAAAACCUCAUGGUUUUCUUUUAAAAGGCGGCUUCGGCUGUCACUGCAGGAUGGGCCCGCGGCGCAUUAGCUAGUUGGUGAGGUAACGGCUCACCAAGGCAACGAUGCGUAGCCGACCUGAGAGGGUGAUAGGCCGCACUGGGACUGAGACACGGCCCAGACUCCUACGGGAGGCAGCAGUAGGGAAUCUUCCGCAAUGGACGAAAGUCUGACGGAGCAACGCCGCGUGAGUGAAGAAGGUUUUCGGAUCGUAAAACUCUGUUGUUAGGGAAGAACAAGUAUCGGAGUAACUGCCGGUACCUUGACGGUACCUGACCAGAAAGCCACGGCUAACUACGUGCCAGCCGCCGCAGUAAUAC